rnacentral:lncRNA from 1 species
GGCCAGGACAAUCCUUGUGAGGAGUCACAAGAUUUAUUAGGUUGAGAUACAUAAUGGAUAUACUAUUAAGAGUUGACAGUUGUUGCCCAGCUAUGCAACCCAAGAGGGGGGGUGAAUUGGGUUUUAAAAAUUUUAAACUUAACUUACAACUAUGAAGAUUAUUUAACAAUGAGCAAGAUAAGUAUGGAGAGUAUAAUUUAUGCAAGGUGUAGAAGUUGGAUG